rnacentral:lncRNA from 1 species
GUUGGAGGAGGGGUGGAAUACUGGGUAUUCUGUGGUGGAGUUCUCAGAGGAGACGUCAGAAGACAUUCUGUUUUUGGGAUUAACAUUGGUCUAUAGGCGGUUCUGAUAUAAUAUAGAAGUUUACAAUAGGAUAUGGUUGAAGGUUGUUUUCUCUUAAGAGAUUUGUGUUACGUGAUGGUGUGUUAUAUAGAGAGCGGACUAACAACAACUUCUAGAGAUACU